GACGUUCCGCCCCUUAUAGAAUCGAUUAUUGAUGGGAAGAUAUUAUUUAACUAUCCAAAAUAUUAUUUAAUUAUUUUCAGAAUUAUUUUCUUUCAAUGUUUAUUCAAAUAGAACUUAAACCCAUCUCAGAAUUUUUAAAUGCUUGAUGACGUCACAUUUAAAACGUGGCAACAUUGGUUUCCCCACUUUGACAGCCAAUGCUUAGUAGAGGGGUACGAAGGAUUCAGCUGUGAACGUGAGCCUUGGAUUGCCAUUGUUUCUCGAGUGUUCGGUCUGAAUCGUAGUGUGCGGGGUCAUUAGACUCAAUUAUUCACCUCUAAUUCUCAGUUCCAAAUUGAUUAAAUAUUACAAUAAAAGUAUAGUGAAGUUAUCCAGCAGCAGUGGAUUUGAAGAAUUUUAGAGCAUACUAUAUCCAAUGAGUUCUACCCCGCACCUACCAUGAAAUCUUAAAGCCACCCUACAACAACACCAAGGCCAGACCACACAGAGAGAAACAAUCAAUAGGCGACCAGCCUGGAUUAUUUCCACAUUUUCUUUUUUUUUGAGUACCUCCAGCUGCUUUCCAACAGUUUUGAGUACCUUCAGCUGCUUUCUACCAGUCUUCCUCUCCUGUACCUCCAGCAGGACAGCUGCUAGCGAGAGUUAGCACCCUUGGGUGCUCAUUACAUCAACUUCAAGAUUAGGAAAGAGUGGUUUGUUUGGGAACAUUUACUGUGCUUUUAUUAAAGACAGACUGGUUUUGUGAUAUUUAGUACAUUUUUUUUUAUAGUUCAAUUGCACACACAAUUUUCCUGCUUUAUAUUUUUUAUAGGUUUUUUUUCUUUACAACAUAAUAUUUAAUUGAUAGCGUUCCCCAACACUCUGCAAUCUAUAAAGGUAUAAAUUUCUGAGCUCAGAUAUUUUCCCUGAUAAUAGUAGUCGGUACUCUUAUCUUGAUUAUUUUUAGGCUGUGUUCCACUUUUGUAUAAUUAUUUAAACUCAUUCCAUUAUUUUAGUAUAUGUUUAAUUAAAUUUUUAAAAAUUAACUUCACAUAUUAGUCAAAAUUGUAAUUAUUAACUUUAUUUAACUUGAACUUAUUAACUUUACUUAACUUUAACUUAUUAACUUUAUUUAACUUUAACUUUAAUUUAUUAAAUUCAUAUGAACUUCUGGAUUCUAAUCCCUCAGAUUAGUUUUUGGUUUCACUUGUUAUUAUUACUAUUAUAAACCACGAGUUAGGAAAAGGAUCUGUGUAUCCACUCGUAGGUUUAUUUAUUCAAUAAGGCUUGUGCCUGUCCCACUCACAGUGAGGUAUUUAUAUGUUAUAUAUAGUAUCAGGUAGUAUUUAAUUAAGGUGUACGUAUUAUAAACGUACAAUUAUUAUUUGGUGAGGGUUCUACUAACCUAGUUGUAAGUUGUACUUCCUGUAUUAGAGGUACCCGUAGUCAGUUUUUCUAACCUUAUAAAGAGUAUUCUUAGAUCAUAGUUGUAUGAUGAUUUUGUAAUUGACUUUCACUAGUAUCACUUUUUCCUGUCAUGUUAGAGUUACACACUAGUUACUUGUCCUAACUCAGAGAUUGUUAAAAAGAUCUAGUAGUUACAUUCAAUAAAUAUACAUUUAUUGUGA
rnacentral:lncRNA from 1 species